GGAGAGAUGGCUGAGUGGUUGAAAGCACCGGUCUUGAAAACCGGCAGGCGUUCACGCGCCUCGGGGGUUCGAAUCCCCCUCUCUCCGCCA
rnacentral:tRNA from 1 species